UACAGAGGUCUCAAGCGUUGUUCGGAUUCAUUGGGCGUAAAGCGCGCGCAGGUGGUUCUUUAAGUCUGAUGUGAAAGCCCACGGCUCAACCGUGGAGGGUCAUUGGAAACUGGGGAACUUGAGUGCAGAAGAGGAAAAGUGGAAUUCCACGUGUAGCGGUGAAAUGCGUAGAGAUGUGGAGGAACACCAGUGGCGAAGGCGACUUUCUGGUCUGUAACUGACACUGAGGCGCGAAAAGCGUGGGGGAGCGAACAGG
rnacentral:rRNA from 1 species